UACAGAGGGUGCUAGCGUUGUUCGGAAUCAUUGGGCGUAAAGGGCGUGUAGGCGGUUUGUUAAGUCAUGUGUGAAAGCCCCCGGCUCAACCGGGGAACGACGCAUGAAACUGGCAGCUAGAGUACCGAAGAGGAGAAUGGAAUUCCUGGUGUAGCGGUGAAAUGCGCAGAUAUCAGGAGGAACACCAAUAGCGAAGGCAGCUCGCUAGGACGGUACUGACGCUGAGGAGCGAAAGCGUGGGGAGCGAACAGG
rnacentral:rRNA from 1 species